rnacentral:rRNA from 1 species
GACGAACGCUGGCGGCGUGCUUAACACAUGCAAGUCGAACGGAAAGGCCCCCACCUUGGUGGGGGUGCUCGAGUGGCGAACGGGUGAGUAACACGUGGGUGAUCUGCCCUGUACUUCGGGAUAAGCUUGGGAAACUGGGUCUAAUACCGGAUAGGACCAUGGUUUAGUGUCUCAUGGUGGAAAAAUUAUUGUUUUGGUGCAGGAUGAGCUCGCGGCCUAUCAGCUUGUUGGUGGGGUAAUGGCCUACCAAGGCGUCGACGGGUAGCCGGCCUGAGAGGGUGGACGGCCACGUUGGGAGUGAGAUACGGGCCAGACUCGGACGGGAGGCAGCAGUGGGGAAUAUCGAACAAUGGGAGCAAGACGGAUGAAGCGACGCCGAGUGGGGGAGGACGGCCUUCGGGUUGUAACCUCCUUUCGUUAGGGACGAAGCCACACCUUUUUUGGGUGUGGUGACGGUACCUUUGUGAAGAAGCACCGGCUAACUACGUG